rnacentral:rRNA from 1 species
GCAGCUACACAUGCAGUCGAGCGAGAAGCACUUCGGUGUGAGUAGAGCGGCGGACGGGUGCAGUAACGCGUAGGAAUCUACCCAGUAGUGGGGGACAACAGUCGGAAACGGCUGCUAAUACCGCAUACGCCCUACGGGGGAAAGCGGGGGACCUUCGGGCCUCGCGCUAUUGGAUGAGCCUGCGUUGGAUUAGCUAGUUGGUGAGGUAAAGGCUCACCAAGGCGACGAUCCAUAGCUGGUCUGAGAGGAUGAUCAGCCACACUGGGACUGAGACACGGCCCAGACUCCUACGGGAGGCAGCAGUGGGGAAUAUUGCGCAAUGGGGGCAACCCUGACGCAGCCAUGCCGCGUGUGUGAAGAAGGCCCUAGGGUUGUAAAGCACUUUCAAUAGAGAGGAAAAGCUGUGCGUUAAUAGCGUACAGCCGUGACGUUACCUAUAGAAGAAGCACCGGCUAACUCCGUGCCAGCAGCCGCGGUAAUACGGAGGGUGCGAGCGUUAAUCGGAAUUACUGGGCGUAAAGCGCGCGUAGGCGGUGAUUUAAGUCAGAUGUGAAAGCCCCGGGCUUAACCUGGGAACUGCAUUUGAUACUGGGUCACUUAGAGUACGAGAGAGGGGGGGUAGAAUUCCACGUGUAGCGGUGAAAUGCGUAGAUAUGUGGAGGAAUACCAGUGGCGAAGGCGGCCCCCUGGCUUGAUACUGACGCUGAGGUGCGAAAGCGUGGGGAGCAACAGGAUUAGAUACCCUGGUAGUCCACGCCGU